AAAUUGAAGAGUUUGAUCAUGGCUCAGAUUGAACGCUGGCGGCAGGCCUAACACAUGCAAGUCGAGCGGUAGCACAGAGAGCUUGCUCUCGGGUGACGAGCGGCGGACGGGUGAGUAAUGUCUGGGAAACUGCCUGAUGGAGGGGGAUAACUACUGGAAACGGUAGCUAAUACCGCAUAAUGUCGCAAGACCAAAGUGGGGGACCUUCGGGCCUCAUGCCAUCAGAUGUGCCCAGAUGGGAUUAGCUAGUAGGUGGGGUAACGGCUCACCUAGGCGACGAUCCCUAGCUGGUCUGAGAGGAUGACCAGCCACACUGGAACUGAGACACGGUCCAGACUCCUACGGGAGGCAGCAGUGGGGAAUAUUGCACAAUGGGCGCAAGCCUGAUGCAGCCAUGCCGCGUGUGUGAAGAAGGCCUUCGGGUUGUAAAGCACUUUCAGCGGGGAGGAAGGCGGUGAGGUUAAUAACCUCAUCGAUUGACGUUACCCGCAGAAGAAGCACCGGCUAACUCCGUGCCAGCAGCCGCGGUAAUACGGAGGGUGCAAGCGUUAAUCGGAAUUACUGGGCGUAAAGCGCACGCAGGCGGUCUGUCAAGUCGGAUGUGAAAUCCCCGGGCUCAACCUGGGAACUGCAUUCGAAACUGGCAGGCUGGAGUCUUGUAGAGGGGGGUAGAAUUCCAGGUGUAGCGGUGAAAUGCGUAGAGAUCUGGAGGAAUACCGGUGGCGAAGGCGGCCCCCUGGACAAAGACUGACGCUCAGGUGCGAAAGCGUGGGGAGCAAACAGGAUUAGAUACCCUGGUAGUCCACGCCGUAAACGAUGUCGAUUUGGAGGUUGUGCCCUUGAGGCGUGGCUUCCGGAGCUAACGCGUUAAAUCGACCGCCUGGGGAGUACGGCCGCAAGGUUAAAACUCAAAUGAAUUGACGGGGGCCCGCACAAGCGGUGGAGCAUGUGGUUUAAUUCGAUGCAACGCGAAGAACCUUACCUGGUCUUGACAUCCACAGAACUUUCCAGAGAUGGAUUGGUGCCUUCGGGAACUGUGAGACAGGUGCUGCAUGGCUGUCGUCAGCUCGUGUUGUGAAAUGUUGGGUUAAGUCCCGCAACGAGCGCAACCCUUAUCCUUUGUUGCCAGCGGU
rnacentral:rRNA from 1 species